GCCAGCGUGGUGUAGUGGUUUGAGCAUUUGACUAUAACUCUGGAGAUCAGGGUUCGAAUCCCCUCUUGCG